UGAGACGCACCAUAUUGGGGUGGCGCCGGGCGGAGGACCAGGCAGGAGGCCGGGAGGACCAGGACCGCUGGGCGAGGCCCCGGAGGGGCGGGGCCGGCGGCGGAUGGGCCGGGGGCCGCGUCCUCUCUUCCCUGCGCGGCGCUGGGCCGCUCGCUCCAGCUCUCCCUCCUCUAGAUCCUGCCUAUCUCCUAGGAAGGACAGCACUGGAAGGAAAGAGAAGGCAAUGGCUGUUGGGCCUCUGCCAUCGGCAGCUCAGUUUCAGGAGUCAGUGACAUUCCGGAAUGUGUCUGUGAAUUGCACUUGGGAGGAGUGGAUUCGUCUGGAUUCUGCUCAAAGGAACUUGUAUGAGACAGUGAUGCUGAAGGACAGGGACUUGGCUUCACUAGGGCUAUCAGCUUUCCAAAUCAAAUGAGAUUUCUCAGCUGGAGCUGGAAGAAUGAGCUGGAUGACAAAAGAACUUUCAGUGUGCCUCUCUCCAGAUUUUCUUCAAUAUUACUGCCAGAUUAAGCUACCAUUUAGUCUCCUUCUGUCCAAAACCAAGACAAGAAAGCAAUGGAGGACUGCAUGCUGUGCUCAGCUCUUCCCCAGCCAUCAUGACUCACUCCUCAUAGUCAUCCUGUGGGGUAGACUCCCAGCCCCUCUCUGAGGGGGAAUGACACACCAGAAGUUGAACACAGAUUUGUUUUAUUUCUGCCUUAGAGUUUAAUUCUAAUUCUGGAACAAAAAGGUUAUAACUUUCUUUCCCUGCCUUCCUGUGACUUAUUUCCAAGUACAUCUAACAAAAAAUAGAACCUCUAUGUCCUAGUCUAAUUUUUCUUUUCUUUCUUUAUUUAUUUAGUUAGUUAUUUUAUAACAAAUUUAUUUUUUAUUGGUGUUCAAUUUGCCAACAUACAGAAUAAGACCCAGUGCUUAUCCCGUAAACUGCCCCCCUCAGUGCCUGUCACCCAUUCAGCCCCACCCUCUGCCCUCCGCCCCUUCCAACACUCCUAUUUCAUUUCCCAGAGUUAGGAGUCUUUAUGUUCUGUCUCCCUUUCUGAUAUUUCCCACACAUUUCUUCUCCCUUCCCUUCUAUUCCCUUCCACUAUUAUUUAUAUUCCCCAAAUGAAUGAGAACAUAUAAUGUUUGUCCUUCUCCGACUGACUCAUUUCACUCAGCAUAAUACCCUUCAGUUCCAUCCAUAUUGAAGCAAAUGGUGGGUAUUUCUCAUUUUUAAUGGCUAAGUAAUAUUCCAUUGUAUACAUAAACCACAUCUUCUUUAUCCAUUCAUCUUUCAAUGGACACCGAGGCUCCUUCCACAGUCUGGCUAUUGUGGACACUGCUGCUAGAAACAUCGGGGUGCAGGUGUCCCGGCGUUUCAUUGCAUCUGUAUCUUUGGGGUAAAUCCCUAACAGUGCAAUUGCUGGGUCGUAGGGCAGGUCUAUUUUUAACUCUUUGAGAAACCUCCACACAGUUUUCUAGAAUGGCUGCACCAUUUCACAUUCCCACCAACAGUGUAAGAGGGUUCCCUUUUCUCCGCAUCCUCUCCAACAUUUGUGGUUUCCUGCCUUGUUAAUUUUCCCCAUUCUCACUGGUGUGAGGUGGUAUCUCAUUGUGGUUUUGAUUUGUAUUUCCCUGAUGGCAAGUGAUACAGAGCAUUUUCUCAUGUGCAUGUUGGCCAGGACUAUGUCUUCCUCUGUGAGAUUUCUGUUCAUGUCUUUUGCCCAUUUCAUGAUUGGAUUGUUUCUUUGCUGUUGAGUUUAAUAAGUUCUUUAUAGAUCUUGGAAACUAGCCCUUUAUCUGAUACGUCCUUUGCAAAUAUGUUCUCCCAUUCUGUAGGCUGUCUUUUAGUUUUGUUGACUGUAUCCUUUGCUGUGCAAAAGCUGCUUAUCUCGAUGAAUUCCCAAUAGUUCAUUUUUGCUUUUGUUUCUUUUGUCUUCGUGGAUGUAUCUUGCAAGAAGUUACUGUGGCCGAGUUCAAAAAGGGUGUUGCCUGUGUUCUCCUCUAGGAUUUUGAUGGAAUCUUGUCUCACAUUUGGAUCUUUCAUCCAAUUUGAGUUUAUCUUUGUGUAUGGUGCAAGGGAGUGGUCUAGUUUCAUUCUUCUGCAUGUGGAUGUCCAAUUUUCCCAGCACCAUUUAUUGAAGAGGCUGUCUUUCUUCCAGCAGAUAGUCAAUCCUCCUUUAUCGAAUAUUAGUUGACCAUAAAGUUCAGGGUCCACUUGUGGAUUCGCUAUUCUGUUCCAUUGAUCUAUGUGUCUGUUUUUGUGCCAGGACCACACUGUCUUGAUGACCACAGCUUCGUAGUACAACCUGAAAUCUGGC